GAGGCGGUGCUGGAGCUGCGUGGCUUCCUGGGAAACCCCAGCAAAGCUUGCACGCUGCCCGCUCCACCUGUUGCUGAAGGGAGCGAGCGAGGGAGGUUUUCUCUUUGGUCACUUAAAAAAGGAGAUGAAGUUCUGUUCACACAGAAUCACAAAGCGCUGACUAUCUGGCACCAGCCCUGGCUGCACCGGGCUGGGAUCAUGCUCCAGGUGUGGGAAGACUGGACUGCCCAGCUAGGACCAUGGGUAUCCCAACAAUGAUGGCAGCUUUCAAGCUUCCUCGUGGAGCAGGCAAGAAACAUGACUGCAACUCAAGCGAUGGUUUUGCAGCAGAUUUUAGCAGCAACAAGAAUUUUCUGUUUAAAGGGGCUUCAGAACAAAUACUUUGAAAAUUUUUAAAUAUAUGUAUUUUAUUAUAUGUUUUUAUAAAGAAGUAGUGAGAAAUGGAAGUGAUUAUUUUAUCUUCCAAUUGAACCAUGGUGGAUCAAAGCAAGAAAGUAUGUAUCUCAAAACUGACACAUCCCUAAAAAUUUCAUGAUUGUUGCUAUUUGAUGUGACACGUCACAGAAUUUUAUGUCAAGCUGAAGAAAAUGUGACAACUUAUAUGUAGCAUUUUCAGAAACAGAGUUUAAGUGCAAUAUUGAGAAGUGUAUCUGCAGGGUUUUUAGAUGCUGCUUCUUCCCAGACUUUAGAAAAGCAACCCCAUAUGCUUUAAACUUCUGCACCCCAUUAAUUAAAGACAGAGCUUAAAAAGUAAUACUAAAAAUAAUUGGCUGGAUUAGAAAAGGCUGUGGGUGAGCUGAGAAGUUACCAUUGCACAAAUAUUAAUAAAUCACUCUUCCUGUAAUUAGCAGGGGGAGAAAAAAAGAGUGCAAUGUGGUAAGCUAGUAGUUGUUUGCAAAAGUAUGUUGGCUAGAGCCUGUCAUCCCUUUUCCUUUCCCUUUCCACACAUCCUUUCAAACCAAGAAACAGCUGCUGAUGCCAUUCAUAAAUAAGAGACCAGCAAGGGCAAAACUGGAUUUUCAAAAGAGAAUGGAGGCAAACUGGAGUUGGUCCUGUGCCCUUCGCAUGGAGGAGGAGUGAAGUGGUUACAUGGGUGAUCCCACCACGGGGCAGCUGCACAGUGCCAUCCUGUUCCACAGAGGCAACCUGAGGCACUGCCACAGUUCAUCUUCCACCAGAUUUACAUGGCCCAAGGCAAACCCACUUCACAAUGUCAUCAGUGUCAGAAAUCCCAUAGACUUUAGCUACAUUCUUUGGGUAACAGAGUUUUAUUUGGAGUAGCCCCUCAAUUCCACACAUGUCUUUACAGCACUUAGUACACUCUUGAUAUUCCAUAUCUGUCAUAAUUAUUCUUACAUACUCUGCAGUUUUUAUUAGCAUCACCAAACAAUGAGAACCAGAUAAAUACUAAUAUGUACCAGAAGUGAUGCAAGAAAAGAGGGUGAGCUUUUGGGUCUGGGGAGUUUUUCUAUCCACAGAGCAUUUUUUGCAGCAGAGAAAGAACAAAGAGAAAUGAUGCUGUUUAUUUUGAUGGUUCUGAGAAGCUAACAUUCACCGUGCUCAUCCCAGGAGCAAACAGCUGGCAAACAGCUGACAACAUAGAUAUCAGUCAACUCCCACAUAACUCACAAUAUAAUACAAAAAAAUAUAGGUAAUAAUGAUACGACAUGACAGAAUGCAUCUUUGAUUGUGUGUGUUAAAAAAAAUAAAAAAUCUUGCAGUAUAUGGAAAA